rnacentral:tRNA from 3 species
GGGGCCGUAGCUCAGUUGGGAGAGCGCUUGAAUGGCAUUCAAGAGGUCGUCGGUUCGAUUCCGUCCGGCUCCACCA